AUGGAAGAGCAGGCACCUCCUGUUCCAACAUCUCGAAUUUCAGUCAGAAAAGCAGUAGAAGUAAUCCAGACAUUUGACGAUUACAAAAGGUGGCUCGUCACUGAAAUUGGGUUUGGUGGAAUGUUAAAGCUACCCAUGUUGCAGAAGCUUAAUCUUAAGUUCAGCGCAUGGACUAUGAGCAAGGUCUGUGUUGAGCGUCGAGCAAUUGUUCUAUCAGAAACAAAAGUACUCAAGUUUUUUGCGGAGGACAUCCACAAGGUGUUCGGCAUACCAUGUGGCCACCGGAAUGUUAAAGGCCGCGAUGGGUUCAUCAAGCCAGAGGCUGUGACCUUCAUAAAGAGGACGCUAGGGAUGGACAGGACGGGUGUGCAUAGUCUACGCGCGGCUGAGGAAUUCCUUAUGCGCGACAUUUCUGAGGCGUCCAGCAAGAUAGAGAAGGAUUGCUUCCAAAUUGCAUUUGUCAUUUUUGUUAUGGGACACGUUCUGGCACCUAGGACAAAAUACGAUUAUGGCACCAUAGACUAUUGGGGUGCACUUGCAAACAUGGAGAAUAUCACGCAAUAUAAUUGGUGUGAGUUUGUACUGGAGUUUUUGCUCGAGGCAGUCCGGCGGCUUAAGAAUGAUAUGAUGGCCAACAACCAUAGUACAAACCUGGUUGGUUGCCACUUGUUUCUUCAGGUUUGUAAACAUGUGUUUUUCAGUACACACCCUCCUGUGCACCGAAAUCUGUCAUUUGCUUUUAUGGUACAUGCUCAUUCCCAUGCCUGCUCUGUAAAACCUUUGUCUCUUUUUCAGAUAUUCUUCCUUGACAAUGUUGACCUUGGAAUUUUCAACAAGAAGCACAAUGUUCUUCCACGCAUUAGUGAUUUCGACCAGAAUAGCCGGAAGAACAUGAUAACGAUAGCCACUGACAUUGGGAAGGGCCCCACUUCAUAUGUAAAAUGCAUGGUAAACAUUGCAGCACAGAUGACAACAUAG
rnacentral:rRNA from 1 species